rnacentral:rRNA from 1 species
CCUACGGGCGGCAGCAGUGGGGAAUAUUGCACAAUGGGGGAAACCCUGAUGCAGCAACGCCGCGUGAGUGAAGAAGGAUUUCGGUAUGUAAAGCUCUUUCAUCAGGGAAGAUGAUGACGGUACCUGAGUAAGAAGCACCGGCUAACUACGUGCCAGCAGCCGCGGUAAUACGUAGGGGGCAAGCGUUAUCCGGAUUUACUGGGUGUAAAGGGCGCGUAGACGGUGUGACAAGUCUGAUGUGAAAGCCCGUGGCUCAACCCUGGGACUGCUUUUGAAACUGCCUGACUGGAGUGCUGGAGAGGCAAGCGGAAUUCCUGGUGUAGCGGUGAAAUGCGUAGAUAUUAGGAAGAACACCAGUGGCGAAGGCGGCUUGCUGGACAGUAACUGACGUUGAGGCUCGAAAGCGUGGGGAGCAAACAGGAUUAGAUACCCCUGUAGUC